rnacentral:rRNA from 1 species
GACGAACGCUGGCGGCGUGCUUAACACAUGCAAGUCGAACGAAGUGGCGAACGGGUGAGUAACGCGUAAUCAACCUGCCCUGCAGAGGGGGACAACAGUUGGAAACGACUGCUAAUACCGCAUAGUGAAGGAGGGGAUUGCGUCUGGUGGGCAAGUUGGGGGGGUAACGGCCCACCAAGGCGAUGAUCAGUAGGCGGGUUGGGAGGAUGAACGGCCACAUUGGGACCGAGACACGGCCCAGACUCCUACGGGAGGCAGCAGUGGGGAAUCUUCCGCAAUUGACGAAAGUCUGGAGGAGCAACGCCGCGUGAGUGAUGACGGCCUUCGGGUUGUAAAGCUCUGUUAAUCGGGACGCGGUACCGGAAUAGAAAGCCACGGCUAACUACGUGCCAGCAGCCGCGGUAAUUC